UAGUUCUCUUCUUCUCUUCCUCACCCUUUAUGAUUCAGGUGAAUUUUUCUCUCGAUCAUAAUAAGUCACAAGUAAUAAGUCGCUUGUGGAUCAGUAUUAGGUUUUGCUUCCUCUUCUUCUUCAAACAGAUCCAUCACAGAUGAAAUCUUAGAUCUAUAUUUUUGAGAUUUCUCUUAUUCGUAUCAGUAUGAAGAAAUCAGGUUCUUAGAAAGCUUUCUCUAUUUCGCGAGGUUAGUUUGAUAUAAUGGAAAGACUUACAUAUGGGUAUUAUUCAAUUUCUGUUUUUAUUCUUAGAUUUGGGUUCUAGGGUUUCUGAUAACGAAUAAAUUGAUUUUUUUUUUCCAGUUUGGUUUGUGUUGAAAAGGGUUUUGAAUGAACCGCUUCAAAAACUUCAUGUGAAAUAACUAUUACUUGCUCCGACUUCAAUUUCUCAAAUUAGGGAUUAUUCAGUUUAACAUUUUUUCUUAUUUGGAGUUUAAAUUCGCAGGUUUGGGUACUUUUGAUUGAUUCUAAUUGCUUAUGUUGUUAGUAGACAUUCAAUUUUGGUAUGGAUUUUAAGUUUUUCUCCUUUAUUUUCAAUUUAUGUUAUUGGACUUUGAUCAGCCUGCUGACUUGUUGUAGUAUCAGUGAACCUAAGGUCUAAUACCUCUUAUUUUGUUUUACAUUUGGUUUGGUACUUUCCAGGUAUCCGCUAACGUGAAACUGUUUUGGAGGUUUUAGCGAAUGCAGAUGUAAUGAUGUGGGAUAUUGGACUAAGUUCAGAGCUGAAGUGCAUGUAAUUCUGCACUAAUGAAACUGGUAGGAUGAUUGUAAGGAAAAUUGUUAAAGAUUUUCCUGUGGCGGCAUCAAGUGAUGUUAAUAAGCCCGAAUUGCUUCCUAAAUAUUUAAGAACAAUUAUUGAUGUUGCUGGUUUCCUUCUGCUGGCCAGGAAAGUGUCUUGCUUAAGCAAGUUCAGUCCUCGUCCAAUCAUAUGGGAGCAAGGAGAAAGUUGUUGUUGAACAUGGGAGUUUUUUAUAGGGUUAUUUGUGGUAGACCACCCAACUUUGAUCUGCCAGAGGAUGAGAAACAAGAACUCAGGCGCUACACUUGGAACGAGUUCUUGACUAUUACUCGCAGUAUAAUCGCAUGAAAAAGAUGGCGCAUUACGACCUGCUUAACUUGAUGAUCUCUUUUCAACUUCGCCAGAAAGCAGGUGUUUUAAGAUGGAACAGGAAGAGUACAGCAAGGAAAAAAUUAUUUGGAGCUACAUUAAGUUCACUGACAGCCAAGGUGUCUUGGAUUUGAUAACCUAGAGUCAUAACUCUAGAGUUAUGACUUUCGACAACCAAAAUGCUUUCAAUAUCUUAGCAUUGAUGACAACAAGUUAAAAUAAUUUUCUUCCAACUUAUUGUUUCUUUAAUGGGAGCUAAAUGUACAGUAUGUUGUUCCAAGCAAUGAUUCUUUUAAAAACUGGACUUCAGGAGCUAGAUCGCUUUAUUGGUCCUUGAAUCUUGUUCUUCUAUUUGUUUGAUGUGGUUAAUUUGAUUUCCUAAAGGGAAUUUUACAUAUGCAAUAAUGCCUUAGACAAUGCAUCAUAAUUAUUUGAUGUAUCAAUUGUUUUUUAAGUUGUGUAUUGUUACCAUGUUGGUUUCUUUAAGGUUGUAAGUUUUUGGUUAACUCAACACUCGCUGAGUAAAGUAUUAACAUUCAAAACAUGGAAUAUCUCUUAUGAAGUUAACGCAUCUAUAUUAUGUUAGGAAUGAAUUUGAGUUGCAGAACGUUUUAUUUCAAGACUACGUUACUAAUGGGAUGAUU